CGUGUAGGCGGUGCGGUAAGUUGGGCGUGAAAUCCCCGAGCUUAAACUCGGGUGGGCCGUUCAAGACUGCCGUGCUAGGGUGCGGGAGAGGGAAGUGGAAUUUCCGGUGUAGCGGUGAAAUGCGUAGAUAUCGGGAGGAACACCUGCGGCGAAGGCGGCUUCCUGGACCGUAACCGACGCUGAGGCGCGAAAGCUAGGGGAGCAAACAGGAUUAAAUACCCUGGUAGUCCUAGCCCUAAACGAUGAGCACUGGGUGUGGCCCCUCACGAGGCCGUGCCGAAGCUAACGCAUUAAGUGCUCCGCCUGGGGAGUACGGUCGCAAGGCUGAA
rnacentral:rRNA from 1 species